rnacentral:rRNA from 1 species
CAGUAGCCACGGGAAUACGGAGGGAGCUAGCGUUAUUCGGAAUUACUGGGCGUAAAGCGCACGUAGGCGGCUUUGUAAGUUAGAGGUGAAAGCCUAGAGCUCAACUCCAGAAUUGCCUUUAAGACUGCAUCGCUUGAAUCCAGGAGAGGUGAGUGGAAUUCCGAGUGUAGAGGUGAAAUUCGUAGAUAUUCGGAAGAACACCAGUGGCGAAGGCGGCUCACUGGACUGGUAUUGACGCUGAGGUGCGAAAGCGUGGGGAGCAAACAGGAUUAGAUACCCCGGUAGUCCCUGUCUCUUAUAA